rnacentral:rRNA from 1 species
CCUACGUGAGGCAGCAGUGAGGAAUAUUGGUCAAUGGGCGCGAGCCUGAACCAGCCAAGUAGCGUGAAGGAUGACUGCCCUACGGGUUGUAACCUUCUUUUAUAAAGGAAUAAAGUGAGGCACGUGUGCCUUUUUGUAUGUACUUUAUGAAUAAGGAUCGGCUAACUCCGUGACAGCAGCCGCGGUACUACGGAGGAUCCGAGCUUUAUCCGGAUUUAUUGGGUUUAAAGGGAGCGUAGAUUGGUUGUUAAGUCAGUGGUGAAAGUUUGCGGCUCAACCGUGAAAUUGCAAUUGAUACUGGCAGUCGUGAGUACAGUUGAGGUAGGCGGAAUUCGUGGUGUAGCGGUGAAAUGCUUAGAUAUCACGAAGAACUCCGAGUGCGAAGGCAGCUUACUAAACUGCCACUGACAUUGAUGCUCGAAAGUGUGGGUAUCAAACAGGAUUAGAUACCCGUGUAGUC